UAGGGAAUCUUCGGCAAUGGACGAAAGUCUGACCGAGCAACGCCGCGUGAGUGAAGAAGGUUUUCGGAUCGUAAAACUCUGUUGUUAGAGAAGAACAAGGACGUUAGUAACUGAACGUCCCCUGACGGUAUCUAACCAGAAAGCCACGGCUAACUACGUGCCAGCAGCCGCGGUAAUACGUAGGUGGCAAGCGUUGUCCGGAUUUAUUGGGCGUAAAGCGAGCGCAGGCGGUUUCUUAAGUCUGAUGUGAAAGCCCCCGGCUCAACCGGGGAGGGUCAUUGGAAACUGGGAGACUUGAGUGCAGAAGCGGAGAGUGGAAUUCCAUGUGUAGCGGUGAAAUGCGUAGAUAUAUGGAGGAACACCAGUGGCGAAGGCGGCUCUCUGGUCUGUAACUGACGCUGAGGCUCGAAAGCGUGGGGAGCAAACAGG
rnacentral:rRNA from 1 species